rnacentral:tRNA from 1 species
GCCUGGGUGGCUCAGUCGGUUGAGCGUCUGACUUCGGCUCAGGUCAUGAUCUCGCGGUUCCUGAGUUCAAGCCCCGAGUCAGGCU